rnacentral:rRNA from 1 species
UGGGGAAUAUUGCACAAGGGGCGGAAGCCUGAUGCAGCGACGCCGCGUGGGGGAUGGAGGCCUUCGGGUUGUAAACUUCUUUCGACAGGGACGAAGCUUUUUUGACGGUACCUGUAUAAGAAGCACCGGCUAACCACGUGCCAGCAGCCGCGGUAAUACGUAGGGUGGGAGCGUUGUCCGGAAUUACUGGGCGUACAGAGCUCGUAGGUGGUUUGUCGCGUCGUCUGUGAAAUUCCGGGGCUUAACUCCGGGCGUGCAGGCGGUACGGGCUGACUUGAGUGCUGUAGGGGAGACAGGAAUUCCUGGUGUAGCGGUGAAAUGCGCAGAUAUAAGGGGGAACACCGAUGGCGAAGGCAGGUCUCUGGGCAGUAACUGACGCUGAGGAGCGAAAGCAUGGGUAGCGAACAGG